UGCUAUCUGAAGGGCAGGAAGAGACGAGAACCAGGAAAACAGAAGAGCAGCAGCAUCCCAGAGGUUAGGGAGGAAGACUCCAGAAAGGAGUCCAUCACAAGAACACAGUGGAGUUUUCCCAGAGGCCACAGAAGAGAUCCGAAAGAUUGAAUGUGUAACAGCUAUGAAAUUCUAGGCAUCUUCUCCCAUUAAAGGGGGCGGAAAAGGGGAUGUUACAUUUAUGCUUGCAACCUGAUCAACCUAAAAAGUGAGCCAAGUUCUCCUGCCCAGAAUAUGAACCCAAGGCAGACAUGAAACGGAGAUGUGACAACAUGACUGGAUGCUAGUAUCAGACCAGAAUACAAGGAUCGGCCAACUACAGCCUGCUCGGUGCCUGUUUCUUUUCUACCAAUGAAGCGUUACCAGGACACAGGUGCAGCCAGCCA